rnacentral:sRNA from 1 species
CCUUGGUGGAGGAAGGCUUCUAUUUCACUGAAUCGGGUGCCAUCAGAUGUUUCUACUGCCACACCACUAUUCAAAGAUGGCGAAGUCAACCUCAAGGCCACCUCACUCACCUCCAUCUUAACAUCGAUUGUGGAUUUAUUCAGCACAGAGAAAAUGGGACCUAGAUAAAGCGGAACACAGAGCAAGUGGGACAUAGAUAAAGGGGAACACAGAUCAAGUGGGACUUAGUGAAAGCGGGGCACAGAGAAAGUGGGACAUAGAGAAAGCGGUGGUUCAAAUAGAGUACUUCUCAACAGCUGAAUGCAUUCAGCCCACAGAGUGUCGAGUCCGCACCACUACACAACUAUUCUUCUAUACAUGUCAGAAGAGAAACAUUCCG